CUUUAGACCUCCGCCGCUUCUGCUUCCAAUCAUCUUCUUCCUUCUUUAUUCUCUUUUUUGUUCUUUUGUUCUUCAUCUUCAUCUAUCUAUCUACAGAAUAGAAAACUUGAUCCUUUGCUUCUUCUCGGCCACCACUUCUCAAAUCCCCCAAUUCCCCCAAGCCCCAACAACAACUACCACCACCACCACUUCAAUUCUUUCUUGGCGUUGAUUUUGGGAGGGGUCAGGUUUCGGCUAGACGGCUUGCUUGAGGUUCUCAUCUUUUCUCUUGUUAUUUUCGGCUAUCGGAAUUAUCUGCUCCACCGGCUGGGGUCAGGUUUCGGCUAGACGGCUUGCUUGAGGUUCUCAUCUUUUCUCUUGUUAUUUUCGGCUAUCGGAAUCAUCCGCUCCACCGGCUGGCAGGAAGGGGAGUGGCCGGAGAACGAAGAGGGAUAAAUGCUUCAGCAGUUAGCUCUGUCUGUGAAAAACAGAAAAGGAAAAAAAUUAAAAAAGAAGACGAUGGUGGCAAUUUGGGUUCUUAUACAAAGGUUUGUUUUCCAAAAGGCUUUGGAAGAACUGGAUGUUUGGUUGCUAGAGUCAUCUUGCUAUCAAUGAUCCAUUUAUCACCACUGAUUACAUGGUGAAAAAAGACCAAGGCAACAUGUGUGGCAGACAUCAUGGGCUAUUAUCAUGCGAUUUGUUGGAGAUACUAUCAUGAUUCAUGGGGAUGGCACUGGCUUAAUGCUUCCACCUAGGCUAGCACCUGUACAGGUGACAGAACUAUAGUUCUUAAUGCUACAUCAUCAGUGAAAGAAAACUCUGCAAGUAGCUGGAAUAAAGAUCAAGGUUGAUGACUCUGAUCAGAGAACACCUGGAUGGAAAUAUAACUUUUGGGAGAUGAAGGGAGUACUUUAAGAAUAGAGAUUGGACCUCGUGAUGUGUCUACUGGGACUGUGGUCAUUUUCAGAAGAGAUAUUCCUAGAAAAGAAGGAAAAGAUUUCGGGAUAUCAACGGAUUCUUCAAUUUUUGUUGCUUAUGUUUAAGGGUUGUUGGAUGGGAUUCGUAGUUGCCUGCUGGAGAGGGCAACCACUUUCAUGAGCUUUUUUUUUUUGGAAUUUUAAUUAAACCUGUCCUUCAAGACAUUGGUUCUUUUCUUUUGUAAACUUUAAUUACUGGUAGAUUGUUAGCUAAGUGCGCUAGCAGUAAUCUCUUGAUUCUUCUGAUGUUGUGUUACAUUUUUUUUUACUCCAGUUUCUUCAUCUUUCGAAUAAUAUUAAUGUCCUUGACUA